rnacentral:lncRNA from 1 species
CACGUUUCUAUUCCGGAUCUGCAAGGCCACCAAAACGGAGGGACAGUUAGGGAGGCCAUUGAUGGCCACGGCCUCUCUUUCCCUCCAUCUUCUCCCGAGUCCUCCCUCCCUCCCUCGCUUUCUCCCUCCUUUUCUUUUCCUUCCCUUCCACCCCUCCCAGUCUUUGUGUUUUAUGGGACAUGGGGACCCACUGGGGCCCCAGGGACUUAGUCUCCGUCUCCAGCGCGGCCUCAGUGAGCUGGACCCGGGAACCCCAGGCCAGUGACGGCCUCCGCAGCCCCGGCGCACCUGCUGUCGCCCUAUCCGGUGCCGCGCCUGCCUCACCCCACAGCCGCGGCGCACCCCAGCGGAGCGCUCCCUGGACCACCCAGUCACCCUGUCGCGGGCACUCGCCAGCCAGGACCAGGCCGCAGAGCUGGCUCGCUGCUCCGCAGGCAUCGGAGGGGACCCGGAGCUGGGCGGGGGCAGACCUGCGCGGGGUAAAGGUUGGGGACCGGGCUCCUAGAUCGACAGGUGGGAGGUGCUCCAAGGGAUCCCAAAGAUCAAUCUCCCUUCUCAAGGCGGGGAUUGCCCGACGGCCUGUGGCGACCCGGCAGGCGACACUGGAGGCCGGAGGGGAUGCCCUUUGCACGGGUGACCCCCACUCUCGUCCUGUUCCUAGAGCGCGGAGACACCCUGCUCAACCACGGAAGGGACAUCGCCUGCCCCGUUGGGAACGCGCCCGGCUGGAGUCGGGGGUGGGUGGGGGAGGAAGGGGACCAGAAGAGCCGGUGGUCCCCAUGGCCCCCAAGCGGCGCCCCACCAGGGGCAGUGGGACCCCCAGUGCAAGGGAGGGCCUGGGGAGAAAGGGAAUGGGAACUCUUGCCCUGGAAGUUGGGGCUGUCCGUGGCGGCUCUCCUUCCCACAUCGCCAACCUCCCUGAGAAAAACCAUCCACAGACGCGAACCUCAGGCCGCUCCCUUCUGAAGGCCUUCAAGCUGCAGGGGCGUCGGGAUGUUGGCAUCCGAGGGCCGGGGCCGGGGCAGGGCAGGAGCUGAGAGGGGACAUGGCCCGCGGGAGAUGGACUGCAGUGGCCCAGAGCAGAGACCCCAAGAAGUGAGGCGUGUGGGUGGCUGACCCGGCUCUUUAAAAGGCGCCUCCAACUGCAGAGAGGGUGACCUGGUCUGACUGUGACCCCAGCUGUCGUCACUGCUCCUAUGGACUUCUUUCCGUCCAGAUCCCAGGACACACUGAGGAUAUCAAUAGAGUUACUAGUAUUUACAUUUGUUCUUUCCUCGUUCCUUUCUUCCUUUGACACGGG